CGAAAGGUUCCUGGCAGCACUGGUAUUCACCAGAGGGUUGUACAUUGCCAUUACCUGGAGGGACUGUAGUGGAGAAGCCAGCAAUCGGAACAUUUAUGGAACCACAAAUUUAACUUUCGCAACAUUUAGGCAUAUAAAGUCGUACAUGGGCCCAGAGACCAUGCGGUACUCCACCUCCCUCUCGAUGAUGGGCCCAUCCCCGUUGAUGGAGUUGGCGUUGAGCUGGAUCCAGAGGAGUUAACUUCUCCGCGCCAUUUUGCUUGCACAUGGGAACAAAAAACUUGAGAGUGACUUUCGUUUUUCAAUCUCACAAAUCAAAUUCUCCAUUCCUGUCUGGCAGAAUGUUAUAUUCAGGAGUCUUUGAGCCACAAAGGACAGCUCUCGAGCUUCAAUCAGGAGAUGGACCCUAUACACAGGCUUUCCAGUCUUCUUUGGGCAGUGUUUUCAAUUAGAAGAGCCACAGAAAGAGGUCAGAAGGUAACACAAUAAGCCUCUGUGAAAUAUUUCAGCUUGGAAAUACAAUUUCAGGAUACAGAAGAAAGGCUCAACCUCGCGGCUAAAGAACGGCAAAAUGCCAAGGGAGGUCUGGAAAUACUAAACUCCCAACUCGUUCCAUUUCUCGCCCAACACUACUCAAAAAAUCAUCAUUUUUAAAAAAGACUGUUUCCUUUCCGAGUGUUACCAUGGCGGUCAUCCACUACAAAUAAAAGCUAUUCUGCAUGUCCUGAA